CAACCCUUCAUUCUUGUUGCAGAAGGAAAGCAUAUGCUUUGCUUUUAAUAAAAUUUUGACUUAUUUUCUUCAAACAACACCUUUCACUGCUGGUGGGUAUUCUUUUGUAAUACUGCAUUGAUAUUUUUUAGUGGUGUAACACCCAUCUUCUACUUGGCAAUGCAAAAAUAAGAACCUGUGGGAUGGGACAUAGUCUACAGAUACUGACACAAUGAAUUACAGUGUGCAAAUAUUGGAGCUAUGUACUGUAUUUUCACUUUAGGAUAUUCUGUUAAUGUGUUUUGUCUUACCUGUUUCAGUGUAUGAAUUCGAUUGCAUAAUUGGGAUAUAAGAUAAUGAGAAUAGGAGGCCUUCUAAAAGGAAAGGUUAUUUCACGUAUAAUUUUGUUGUUCCAAAAUGGCAGAGAGAAGGGGAAGAAGAAAGGUAUUCCCCAUGGCAUUUAUUUAUUAGUGAAAACAGCUAGUCUUGAACUUCCUCAUAAUUUUCACUGACAUUUUAAUACAGGAGAAUUUUGAAGUUAGAACAUACUCAAGUUGUUUCACAAAUUCCUUCAAAAUCUGGACUCUGUGUGUGUAAUAAAUGUAGGUGAUCUGGUUUUACAGAACAGAAUAAUAAUUUAGGUGAAUGUAUGGAAUUUUAACAGCUUUAUGUGGAAGAUCAGACUGUGUUGUGUGUUGUUGCUCUUUCUCUUGAGGUUGGAAGGUAGGGGAGAUACUAACACAGAGAGGCACACCUCUUUUGUUAAAAAACAAAAUCUUUGUUUCUCCAUUAAUCACUCUGGGGCUUUUUUCCUUGUAUCCUGUACUAUUUUAGGCCUUCACCCCUUUUUUUAAGUUUUCCCAGGAAAAUGAGAUUAAACUACUGCAGUUUUUGGAAUAAAAAGAAACUAGGCUUUUAUUUUUCAGAAGCAUACAAGGCAUUUAUUUAAUAUGACUUCCUUAAUUUAAUUUUUUAAAAUCUGUUUGGAAUGUUUUUCUAGGUAGGAAGUAGUUUUAUAAAUCCCAUACUCAUACUUCAGUUUUCUCAUGCAAGAUAGAAAACUGUUUCAAAACAGUAGUUUUCAUGCAUUGGGAUGUAGUUCCGUUCUUUGCUUGACAUCACUUAGGAAACUGAGGAUGGAAUUUCUGUCCUGUCAUUCACAUGCCCUACAUUGUGUGCUUCUAACUCUUGAACCUGUUGUGGUCUUUUGAAGAGCUAAUCCAUACUGUCAGUGGUACUUAGAGAGCAGUUGACCUAAUUUAUGAUGAGCUGGAUCACGUUCCAAGUGCCUUUGAGGGCAUUAGUCAGGUCUUAUUGCCUUCUAGAAGUGUUCGGCUUCUAAAUUUGUGUGUCUUGUAGAAUUCCUUCUUCUGUAUCCAUGAAGUUUUUUGGAAAGUAGUGUGCAGAAUAUAUUUGUUUUGAAAUGCAGUAACUAUCUAAAAGUUAGUUUUAUGCAACCUUGAUAGAUCUUAUUUUUCCCCUAGUACAGUCUAAUAUUAACUCACGAGGAACAAAAAAAAGCAUCUUUUGCUGAUAGUUACAAAUGCAUGCUUGAGAAUUCCCCAGACAUUACAUCCAGUUAAUACAUCCAAACUCUAAAGCUGUGGAGCGCUCUGAAAAUUUUUCCAUAAGAUUUAUUUAAUUAUUGUAAUGAUUACUAAAGUGAAGAAUGAUUGUGAUAGAAAAAUGAUUCUCUGCCACUUUAGAAUGAAAUGAUGGCAAAUUUUUUUUAUUCAGGAGGAGUACUUUAAAAAUCCCCAAAAGGUCACACCCUCAUUUUAUUUAGUUUACUAAACUUCUGUCCCUACUAAAGUAAGAUUAUAGCUGGAUUUCCUCUAGAGGAAAGUUGUUCCAUAGUUCAAAAGUCACUUGAAUCUUAGUGGUUUAAAAUAUGUUUAAAAGUAAUUACUGCUCUUCUUUUUACAGUGUUCCAGGCAAAGAUUCCCUGUAGUCCCACUGAUACAAAGAGUGCAAUUUGUGUGUUUCUUUUGUUGUCAUUGCAACAAAGUAAAAUAGAUUAAUUAAAAAUAUUUAAUUUGUUAGUUUGUUCUGAUAAGUUCUACAGUGUGUACUAGAUAAUUGACUGUACAUGUUGGUUGAUUUUUUACAUUUGUGGUCGAAUGUUUAGUUAGCUCUGUGCAAAUAAUUUUAAUAAUAAAUACUUGACAGUGUAUGUGAAGCAAUUGUGAAAUUCUGUUUGAAUAGGUGAAGUCUAAGAGAAAAAUAAGCAAGCUGUGUAUGUGAAAGUAAUUGAUGACUGUGAUAUAAAUGUAAAUUUCCACAACAACAAUUUGAAGCUGAACAGUUUGGAGUUUUACUUUGACACUCUGUGGACUUUGGAGUAUACUGAAAUUGACUCUUACCAGAAGUCAUUCAAGAACAAUUACAAAGUAUCUUCUGUGAAACCUAACUUCAGAGCCAGCAAGGUUUUGUAUUGCAGCUUUGAUUCAGCAGCUUUAUUUGGCAGCAUACACCAGGAGGAAAGAUAAAAAACAAUGAGGUAUAAAUGACUGAUAAGUAUUAUAAAGCAGCUAUUUCUGUAUGAAGUUUAUUUGCAUGCUGAAUGGAAAAGUGGAGUGCAUAAUUGUUAACUGGAUUCUACUGCCGUAAUGAACCUCUACAAGAAAAUCCAAACACUCUUUCCUUCCAUCCAAAAAAUGUUCAUUCUCAGGGAGAAGAGCUUGUUGCUUUUAUUUUGAAAUAUAUUUCUUUACUCAAAAAAAAAGCAUUGAGUGUUUUUUAAUCUUUGGUUGCUUCAGGUCUUGUUUUCUUUUCUUCCUAAUAGCUAGAAGAAUAAAGUGAAAUAGUCUUUUUUCUUACUGUUUUGGUUGUAAUCUAAUACAAUCACAUAAAACAGAUGACUUUAUAGAAUUAAACUCACUUGAAAAUGUAAAUUUUGCACUAACCAUAAUAAUUUCAAAAGCAAUUGUAAACUUUCUUUAGUAUCUCAGUAUUUCUCUUGAAUUGUUCUCCUGAAUGGAUAUAUGUCUAUGUUUCCUUCUGAAGUCAUAACUGGCAAGUGGCUACUUCUACAAUUGUCCCUUCUUACACUGAUCUUCCAUUUGU